rnacentral:rRNA from 1 species
GAUGAACGCUGGCGGCGUGCCUAAUACAUGCAAGUCGAGCGAACAGACGAGGAGCUUGCUCCUCUGACGUUAGCGGCGGACGGGUGAGUAACACGUGGAUAACCUACCUAUAAGACUGGGAUAACUUCGGGAAACCGGAGCUAAUACCGGAUAAUAUAUUGAACCGCAUGGUUCAAUAGUGAAAGACGGUUUUGCUGUCACUUAUAGAUGGAUCCGCGCCGCAUUAGCUAGUUGGUAAGGUAACGGCUUACCAAGGCAACGAUGCGUAGCCGACCUGAGAGGGGGAGCGGCCAAACGGGAACUGAGACACGGGCCAGACUCCUAGGGGAGGCAGGAGUAGGGAAUUUUCCGCAAGGGGCGAAAGCAUGACGGAGCAACGCCGCGGGAGGGAUGAAGGGCUGCGGAUCGUAAAACUUUUUUAUUAGGGAAAAAAAAAUGUGUAAGUAAAUAUGAACGUUUUGACGGUACCAAAUAAAAAAGCCACGGCUAACUACGG